UGCUUUUAGCUGACUUAGCUAGCUAGUUAGCUACACUAACGUUAGCUCGCCUCGCUGUAUCUGUUCGGCUGCAACGAUAACGUUACACAAUAAACACUGAAAACACAUUAAAAACGUCGAACAUUCAAUGGGUGUGCGAUGUGAACUACAAAUGAUGAGCACUGGAUACAGCGCUUUAAUUUACCUGCAAUGAAACAGUCAAUCCUAGUUCAAAUCCAAGUCGGUCCCAUAUAACGUUAGUUAACGCCCACACUCUCAUUUGCAGCAGCUAGCUGGCGGGUGUAACCAUAGUAACGAGUUUUUACGGCAGUCUUGCUCUACCGACCUGUGACCAGUUUACCUUCCUCGUGCCUGUGACAUCUUUGCUUCCAACAUGAUCUGGCGUUGCUUCAUACGCUACAUAUUUGUGGCACUGACUCUGAAACAACUUUUGAGUCACAUUAACAACAUGCACAAUCGCAGCCCUGACUUUCGCGUCGUGUGCGGGAUUGAUGGCUGUCCAAGUGAUUACAGGGUGUAUAACUCAUUCUACUAUCACGUGAAGCGGACACACGCGCAUCAUCUUGUCCAAGUUCAAGCGGCAGAGGAUGAAGGACGGUUUACCUGGAGUAGGGGAAAGGACAGCCGUAAACGACCAAACUUAUGCAAGCCCUUUUGCUGAAGCGGAGGGCUCAAGCAUCGUUAUUCCAGCGAGUGGAUUUCAAGAAGAUGGAGAGGGUCGCAUGAAUGUUGACCUUUCUAAACAUGCAACUGCAUUUCUUCUUCAAGCCAGAGAUAAAGAGCUGUUAACCAAAUGGUGAGUGGAGUCCAGCAAUAUCAGGCCACAUUAUUGGAGCACCUAAAACAGCAAAUGAGCAACAUGAUUGAGAGACAUUCUGGGGACCUGGAUCAACUGAAGAGUGAUGCAAUGGGGAUAUUUGACCAGUUUGUUGACCCUUUCUGUGAAAUUGCUUCCACCCAUUUGCAGGAUAAGACCGUCAAAGAACUGUUAAAACCAGUUGAACCAGAGAUUGUUGUCGCAAAACACACAGUGUGUUAUGUCAAACAUGGAGACUCCAGAGUUCUUACCAUUAAAGACCAUUGUUUUCAUUAUAUACCGUUGGUGAAAAGUUUGGAGCAGCUGCUAUCACAUCCAAGAACAACAGCAAUGAUUGAUGAGAGGCCACAGACAUGCAAGGAUGGAUUUUUUUCAUGAUUUCAUUGAUGGGGAGAUUUUUUAAGUCGCACCCACUGUUUUUGAAAUUUCCCCAAGCAUUGCAGUUGGUUUUAUAUACAGAUGAAAUUGAGCUAUGCAAUCCUCUUGGAUCUCGGGCAAACAAAAACAAAUUGUUAUUGAUUUAUUACACCUUAGGUAACAUCAACCCUAAAUACAGAUCAAAACUUGCUGCCAUUCGUCUGCUUGCCAUGAUAAAAUCAAAAGAUCUUUCCCAUUGUGGUAAUGAUGAGAUAUUUGAGAGGAUUAACCAUGACUUAACUGAGCUGUGUGAUGGUGUCCAGGUUGUCACUGCAAAUGGUGAGAGGACAAUUUAUGGGGCACUUAUGGCAUAAAUAGGAGAAGCAAAUUAACAGAAUUUCCUCACUUUGAUAUAAUCAAUCAAACCCCGCAGGACAUCAUGCAUGUCAUUCUUGAAGGUGUUGCCCCAUAUGAAAUCAAAUGUGUUUUAAAGCAACUUGUGCUGUCAGGGCAUAUGGACUUAGACGCAUUCAACAGUGCAAUUAUGUGUUUCCCUUAUUCUCCUGUGGAUGCAAGGGAUAAGCCUUGCCCCAUAUCUGUCAAUACACUUUCAUCAAAUGACAAUAAAUUGAAACAGUCAGCUGGGCAGAUGCUGGUUUUGUUAAAGAUCCUGCCAUUUCUCAUUGACAAAAUUACACACACAAAUGCUACUUAAGUUGUUAGAGAUAGUCAGAAUUCUGUUUUCACCCAUUAUUGCUCUCUCAACUCUUUCAAGGCUGAAGCUUUUAAUAGAGCAACAUUUAAAACAUUUCAAACAACUGUUUCCAGAUGCAAAUAUUAUACCUAAACAGCAUUACUUGCUGCAUCUUCCUUCUCAGAUUAAGGCACUUGGUCCUACAGUGAGGCACAUCUGUAUGCGCUUUGAGUCAAAGCAUUGCUUUUUUUAAGCAGUGGCCUUUGAAAAGUAGUUUUAAAAAUAUCUGUAAGUCUCUUGUGAAGCUCAACCAACUUUAUGAAUGUAGUCAGAAUGUGCAUGAGAAACAUCCGAUUUGUUCAAGUGAAGUUGACAUGGGCCCAGCCUCUGAGGUGAAAAAUGUUCACUAUGUAGAAGGAAAGAUUAAAGACUUCUUAGGAAUAGAGCACGUUGAACACACAGAUUCAG